AUUGGGUGCAGUGGCAUGUGCCUAUGGUCCCAGCUACUCAGGAGGCUGAGACAGUAAGAUCGCUUGAGACCAGGGAGUCCUGGGCUAUAGUGCACUAUGCUGAUUGGCUGUUCGCACUAAGUUCAGCAUCAAUAUGGUGACCUCCCGGGAGCGGGGGACCACCAGGCUGCCUAAGGAAGGGUGAACCUACCCAGGUCAGAAACAGAGCAGAUCGAGACUCUCAUGUUGAUCAGCAAUAUGAUCACACUUGUGAUUAGCCACUGCAUUCCAGCCUGGGCAACAUAUUGAGACCCCAUCUCUG
rfam:Nomascus leucogenys chromosome 8, whole genome shotgun sequence.